GUGGGGAAUCUUAGACAAUGGGCGCAAGCCUGAUCUAGCCAUGCCGCGUGAGCGAUGAAGGCCUUAGGGUUGUAAAGCUCUUUCGUGGGGGAAGAUAAUGACGGUAACCGGAGAAGAAGCCCCGGCUAACUUCGUGCCAGCAGCCGCGGUAAUACGAAGGGGGCUAGCGUUGUUCGGAAUUACUGGGCGUAAAGCGCACGUAGGCGGGUAUUUAAGUUAGGGGUGAAAUCCCAGGGCUCAACCCUGGAACUGCCUCUAAUACUGGGUAUCUCGAGUCCGAGAGAGGUGAGUGGAAUUCCGAGUGUAGAGGUGAAAUUCGUAGAUAUUCGGAGGAACACCAGUGGCGAAGGCGGCUCACUGGCUCGGUACUGACGCUGAGGUGCGAAAGCGUGGGGAGCAAACAGGAUUAGAAACCCUUGUAGUCC
rnacentral:rRNA from 1 species